rnacentral:rRNA from 1 species
GAUGAACGCUGGCGGCGUGCCUAAUACAUGCAAGUCGAGCGAACGGACGAGAAGCUUGCUUCUCUGAUGUUAGCGGCGGACGGGUGAGUAACACGUGGAUAACCUACCUAUAAGACUGGGAUAACUUCGGGAAACCGUAGCUAAUACCGGAUAAUAUUUUGAACCGCAUGGUUCAAAAGUGAAAGACGGUCUUGCUGUCACUUAUAGAUGGAUCCGCGCUGCAUUAGCUAGUUGGUAAGGUAACGGCUUACCAAGGCAACGAUGCAUAGCCGACCUGAGAGGGUGAUCGGCCACACUGGAACUGAGACACGGUCCAGACUCAUACGGGAGGCAGCAGUAGGGAAUCUUCCGCAAUGGGCGAAAGCCUGACGGAGCAACGCCGCGUGAGUGAUGAAGGUCUUCGGAUCGUAAAACUCUGUUAUUAGGGAAGAACAAAUGUGUAAGUAACUAUGCACGUCUUGACGGUACCUAAUCAGAAAGCCACGGCUAACUACGUG